rnacentral:rRNA from 1 species
CAAUAGCGUAUAUUAACGUUGUUGCAGUUAAAAAGCUCGUAGUUGGAUUUCUGGAGGGAGCGUCGACCCGUAUUUACGAGUGCGUGACGUCUCUGUCCAUCCUUGCGGGAAGGCACGGCAUUGAUUUGUUGUGUCGGAUCGCAUCAUUUACUGUGAAAAAAUUAGAGUGUUCAAAGCAGGCUUUCGCUUGAAUACAUUAGCAUGGAAUAAUAAGAUAGGACUUUGGUGCUGUUUUGUUGGUUGAGCCUAAAGUAAUGAUUAAUAGGGAUAGUUGGGGGCACCUGUAUUGCGUUGUCAGAGGUGAAAUUCUUGGAUUUACGCAAGACAAACAGCUGCGAANGNGUCUGCNAAGGAUGUUUNCAUUA